GAGGUGCCGGGCUCUGAACUGUCAGGCCCAGAGGUGCCGGGGCUACGAACUGCCAGGCCCAGAGGUGCCGGGGCUACGAACUGCCAGGCCCAGAGGUG